CAUACCUAUUCGAAGGGAUAGGGUCGGCUCGGCCGGAUUUUACACAAGUGUUGCAUGGCUGUCGUCAGCUCGUGUCGUGAGAUGUUGGGUUAAGUCCCGCAACGAGCGCAACCCUCAUCCUUAGUUGCCAUCAGGUAAUGCUGAGUACUUUAAGGAAACUGCCAGUGAUAAGCUGGAGGAAGGUGGGGUUGAUGUCAAGUCAUCAUGGCCUUUAUGGAGUGGGCUACACACGUGCUACAAUGGUGUCUACAAUGGGUUGCAAGGUGCGCAAGGCUAAGCUAAUCCCUAAAAGACAUCUCAGUUCGGAUUGUACUCUGCAACUCGAGUACAUGAAGUUGGAAUCGCUAGUAAUCGUGGAUCAGCAUGCCACGGUGAAUACGUUCUCGGGUCUUGUACACACUGCCCGUCACGCCAUGGGAAUUGGUUUCACUCGAAGCU
rnacentral:rRNA from 1 species